rnacentral:rRNA from 1 species
CCUACGGGGGUCUGCAGUGAGGAAUAUUGGUCAAUGGGCUUACGCCUGAACCAGCCAAGUCGCGUGAGGGAAGACUGCCCUAUGGGUUGUAAACCUCUUUUGUCAGGGAGCAAUUGGCGCUACGUGUAGCGUUCUCGAGAUUACCUGAAGAAAAAGCUUCGGCUAACUCCGUCCCAGCAGCCGCGGUAAUACGGAGGAUGCGAGCGUUCUCCGGAUUUUUUGGGUUUAAAGGGUGCGUAGGCGGAAUGCCAAGUCAGCGGUAAAAUCGCGGGGCUCAACCUCGCUCCGCCGUUGAAACUGGCGUUCUUGAGUGGGCGAGAAGUAUGCGGAAUGCGUGGUGUAGCGGUGAAAUGCAUAGAUAUCACGCAGAACUCCGAUUGCGAAGGCAGCAUACCGGCGCCCAACUGACGCUGAAGCACGAAAGCGUGGGUAUCGAACAGGAUUAGAUACCCUGGUAGUC